rnacentral:tRNA from 1 species
GUGGUUGUGGCUCAGAGGUAGAGUGCUUGCCUAGCAUGCGUGAAGCACUGAGGUUCUAUCCUCAGCACCACA